UACGUAGGGGGCAAGCGUUGUCCGGAUUUAUUGGGCGUAAAGAGCGUGUAGGCGGCCAGGUAGGUCCGCUGUGAAAACUCGAGGCUCAACCUCGAGAUGUCGGCGGAAACCAUCUGGCUAGAGUCCGGAAGAGGAGAGUGGAAUUCCUGGUGUAGCGGUGAAAUGCGCAGAUAUCAGGAAGAACACCGGUGGCGAAGGCGGUUAGCUGGGCAGUUGCUGACACUGAGGCGCGACAGCGUGGGGAGCAAACAGG
rnacentral:rRNA from 1 species